CACGAGCAAUCAAUGAUAAGAAACAUUGUAUUUGUAUUCAAGCGAGCAUUGCUCGCUGCAUGUGGUCAAUUUUUGAGAGCACUUUCUGACAUUAAUUUUCAAUUCAUACCUGUAAGGCCCCUGUAAAAACUGUAAAUAAUCUUUAUUUCUUCUUUUUUCUUCGUUAUGAAAGCAUAAAUAAGAGUUCAUUGUAAACUAAGAGCUCAGAAAAUGUACAUUUUCAACUAAAGUUGUUUGUUUUCAAGUUGACAUUUUGUGUUUACUCCACGCAUGAUCCACGCGGGCUCGUAUCCGUGCCGAUUAAUCUUUAAUCGGCACACUGUGCCGAUUAAUGUUUAAUCGGCACGGUUUUUAACCAAUCAGAAUCGAGUAAAUUGACUAAAAUGAUAUUA